ACAGCAGCAGCCGCGGUAAUACGUAGGGUGCAAGCGUUAAUCGGAAUUACUGGGCGUAAAGCGUGCGCAGGCGGUUAUAUAAGACAGAUGUGAAAUCCCCGGGCUCAACCUGGGAACUGCAUUUGUGACUGUAUAGCUAGAGUACGGCAGAGGGGGAUGGAAUUCCGCGUGUAGCAGUGAAAUGCGUAGAUAUGCGGAGGAACACCGAUGGCGAAGGCAAUCCCCUGGGCCUGUACUGACGCUCAUGCACGAAAGCGUGGGGAGCAAACAGGAUUAGAUACCCCGGUAGUCCCUGUCUCUUAUAU
rnacentral:rRNA from 1 species